UUAGGAAUUUUGGGCAAUGGGCGCAAGCCUGACCCAGCAACGCCGCGUGGGUGACGAAGGCCUUCGGGUUGUAAAGCCCUUUUCUCAGGGAAGAUGAUGACGGUACCUGAGGAAGAAGCACCGGCUAACUACGUGCCAGCAGCCGCGGUAAUACGUAGGGUGCGAGCGUUGCCCGGAUUUAUUGGGCGUAAAGGGCGCGUAGGCGGCUCGACACGUCCGUUGUGAAAUCGCCCGGCUCAACUGGGCGGGGUCAGCGGAUACGGUCGAGCUUGAGCAAGCUAGGGGGCAAUGGAAUUCCCGGUGUAGUGGUGGAAUGCGUAGAUAUCGGGAGGAACACCAGUGGCGAAGGCGGUUGCCUGGGGCUUUGCUGACGCUGAUGCGCGAAAGCGUGGGGAGCGAUCCGGAUUAGAUACCCGCGUAGUCC
rnacentral:rRNA from 1 species